CAAAAACAUAGCCUUGGGUUAUUUUCCAAGGUAAUUUCUGCCCACUGAUUUUAAAUGCCGCAGUACCCUGACUGUGCAAAGGUAGCGCAAUCAAUUGUCUUUUAAUUAAAGUCCUGUAUGAAAGAAAACAUGGGGGCCCGCUUUACCAAUGAUGAGAAAUGAAAUUAAUUAGGUAGUGAAAAAGCUACUAGUGAAAUAAUAGACGAGAAGACCCUAGAAAUUUUUAUAGAGGUUUUUGUUGGGGCAACAUAGUUACAAAUAAUUAACAGUAUGUACAAGAAAUGUAGUAGAGAGAUAAAUUACUCUAGGGAUAACAGCAUAAUCAAUAAAUGUUUGUGACCUCGAUGUUGGAUUAGGGAAUUGUCACUUAGAAGGUAAUCAAGUGUGCUCUGUUCGAGCA
rnacentral:rRNA from 1 species